GGAUGUGAGGGCGAUCUGGCUGUGACAUCUGUCACCCCAGUGAUCACCAGGGUUGAUUCCCUGAUCUGGCUGGCUAGGCGGUUGUCCCCUUCCUCCCUCACCGCUCCAUGUGCGUCCCUCCUGAAGCUGUGUGCUCUGUGGAAGAGGACGGACUUCCCCAAUAGAGACAGACUGGUCUUCGGUUGAGGGCAGAACCU
rnacentral:snRNA from 1 species